GACGAACGCUGGCGGCGUGCUUAACACAUGCAAGUCGAACGGAAAGGCCUCUUUCGGGGGGUACUCGAGUGGCGAACGGGUGAGUAACACGUGAGUAACCUGCCCUUGACUUUGGGAUAACUUCAGGAAACUGGGGCUAAUACCGGAUAGGAGCUCCUGCUGCAUGGUGGGGGUUGGAAAGUUUCGGCGGUUGGGGAUGGACUCGCGGCUUAUCAGCUUGUUGGUGGGGUAGUGGCUUACCAAGGCUUUGACGGGUAGCCGGCCUGAGAGGGUGACCGGCCACAUUGGGACUGAGAUACGGCCCAGACUCCUACGGGAGGCAGCAGUGGGGAAUAUUGCACAAUGGGUGGAAGCCGGAUGCAGCAACGCCGUGUGCGGGAUGACGGCCUUCGGGUUGUAAACCGCUUUCGCUCAUGACGAAGCUUUGUGUGACGGUAGUGGGUAAAGAAGCACCGGCUAACUACGUG
rnacentral:rRNA from 1 species